AUCGUUCAAUUUGAGACUUUUCUCAAAUCGGAAGUAGGUUUUUAACCGAAGGAACGCAUG
rnacentral:ncRNA from 10 species